UACAGAGGGUGCGAGCGUUAAUCGGAAUUACUGGGCGUAAAGCGCACGUAGAUGGCUUUGUAAGUCAGAUGUGAAAUCCCCGGGCUCAACCUGGGAACUGCAUUUGAAACUGCAUUGCUCGAAUGUGGAAGAGGGAAGCGGAAUUCCAGGUGUAGCGGUGAAAUGCGUAGAGAUGUGGAGGAACACCGAUGGCGAAGGCAGCCUCCUGGGCCAACACUGACGCUCAUGCACGAAAGCGUGGGGAGCAAACAGG
rnacentral:rRNA from 1 species